UUGGAGGGCAAGUCUGGUGCCAGCAGCCGCGGUAAUUCCAGCUCCAAUAGCGUAUAUUAAAGUUGUUGCAGUUAAAAAGCUCGUAGUUGAAUUUCGGGAUCAAUAUAUCGGUCGUGCCUUGGUACGUACUGGUAUCAUUGGUUUCUCCUUUCUGACGAACCAUGAUGUCAUUAAUUUGGUGUUAUGGGAAGUUAGGACUGUUACUUUGAAAAAAUUAGAGUGUUUAAAGCAGGCUCACGCUUGAAUACAUUAGCAUGGGAUAAUGAAAUAGGACGUUUGAUUCUAUUUUGUUGGUUUCUAGGAUCGACGUAAUGAUUAAUAGGGAUAGUUGGGGGCAUUAGUAUUCAAUUGUCAGAGGUGAAAUUCUCGGAUUUAUUGAAGACUAACCACUGCGAAAGCAUUUGCCAAGGAUGUUUUCAUUAAUCAAGAACGAAAGUUAGGGGAUCGAAGACGAUCGGAUACCGUCGUAGUCUUAACCAUAAACUAUGCCGACUAGGGAUCGGAUGGUGUUAAUUUUUUAAUGACUCAUUCGGCGCCUUACGGGAAA
rnacentral:rRNA from 1 species